ACGGGAGGCAGCAGUGAGGAAUAUUGGUCAUCGGGCGGAAGCCUGAACCAGCCAAGUCGCGUGAAGGAUGAAGGUAUUAUGUAUUGUAAACUUCUUUAGCAGCAGAGUAAUAAGGGGGUCGAGACCUCCGAUGCAAGUAUGCUGAAAAUCAGGAUCGGCUAACUCCGGGCCAGCAGCCGCGGUAAUACGGAGGAUCCGAGCGGUAUCCGGAUUUAUUGGGUUGAAAGGGUGCGCAGGCGGCUUUUUAAGUCAGUGGUUAAAUCGUGAGGCUCAACCUCAUCACGCCAUUGAUACUGGAGAGCUUGAUUGCGGUUGAGGUUGGCGGAAUCCGUCGUGUAGCGGUGAAAUGCAUAGAUAUGACGAAGAACCCCGAUUGCGUAGGCAGCUGACCAAGCCGUAAAUGACGCUCAUGCACGAAAGUGCGGGGAUCGAACAGGAUUAGAUACCCUGGUA
rnacentral:rRNA from 1 species